UACGAAGGGUGCAAGCGUUAAUCGGAAUUACUGGGCGUAAAGGGUGCGUAGGCGGUUUGUUAAGUCUGUUGUGAAAUCCCCGGGCUCAACCUGGGAAUGGCAUUGGAUACUGGCAAGCUAGAGUGCGUCAGAGGAUGGUGGAAUUCCCGGUGUAGCAGUGAAAUGCGUAGAGAUCGGGAGGAACAUCUGUGGCGAAGGCGGCCAUCUGGAACAGCACUGACGCUGAGGCACGAAAGCGUGGGGAGCAAACAGG
rnacentral:rRNA from 1 species